rnacentral:rRNA from 1 species
AGAUUGAACGCUGGCGGCAGGCCUAACACAUGCAAGUCGAGCGGCAGCACGGGUACUUGUACCUGGUGGCGAGCGGCGGACGGGUGAGUAAUGCCUAGGAAUCUGCCUGGUAGUGGGGGAUAACGCUCGGAAACGGACGCUAAUACCGCAUACGUCCUACGGGAGAAAGCAGGGGACCUUCGGGCCUUGCGCUAUCAGAUGAGCCUAGGUCGGAUUAGCUAGUUGGUGGGGUAAUGGCUCACCAAGGCGACGAUCCGUAACUGGUCUGAGAGGGUGAUCAGUCACACUGGAACUGAGACACGGUCCAGACUCCUACGGGAGGCAGCAGUGGGGAAUAUUGGACAAUGGGCGAAAGCCUGAUCCAGCCAUGCCGCGUGUGUGAAGAAGGUCUUCGGAUUGAAAGCACUUAAGUGGAGAAGGCAGUUACCUAAUACGUAUCUGUUUGACGUUACCGACAGAAUAAGCACCGGCUAACUCUGUGCCAGCAAGCCG